UUUUAAAUUGAUGUCAAUGGUUUUCAAGUGUGGCCAAAAAUUGUGUGUAUGUCAGAUGCAGCUGAAUCUGACACAUUGACAUUAUAACCAGAUGCAGAAAUGGACCCUUUCUCAAACGAAUGCAUUGCGUUUUUGCAGGAAUCUGUGUGUGUGCAGUCAGAGGUGCAGUCUCACAGAAAUACACACACCCCAUCUGCAGGCCUGCAUCUGAACCUGCAGGACAACAGGUCAACAGAGACACACACACUCUGAGGAACAGAGGUCACCCACUGGGUCAGAAAGAGGCUUCAUCAUCACUGUCACAGCAGGAAGAGGAGGAGGAGGCAGUGGAGGAGGAAAAAGAGAAGCAGAGUGGGUGGAAGGAUGGAAGGAGAGAAGGAUGGAAGCAGUUCGAGGAGGUGGUUCGAAGCGGGUGAACCCAGAGCAGGUGAACACAGCUGUGGAUCGCCAUGGGCUCUCUGGCUGCCUUCCUCCUGUGGCCCCGGCGCUGCAUACAGGGGUCCCGGGGAGCCGGCAGGGGCCAGCCAAAGCUGCGGCAGAGUGGGCAGGCUAGGCCAGCCAAGCCAGGAGAGAGGCAGGUGAGGCGGGUGAGCCGAGCUCUCAUCCCCGCCGGCUAGGAGCCUCCGCGGCAGAGUGGAGCAGCGCGGAGCAGCAGAAAUCAAUACAGAGGAGAGAGGCUAGCAGAGGUUGCCCAGCACCGCCUGCAGGCCUCGGAGCCCAGGGACCAACCACCACCACUGCUCCCAGCUCCUCUCUCCAUCUUUCUUUCUAUCUUUCUCCAACAGUCCCAGCACCAGCCAGGGCCAGGGCCCUAACCCUGCAACCGCCCCACACGCAGUGUGUGUGUCAGUACAUGCACAUGUGUGUGUGAAAUAGAGAGAAAAAGGGAGAGGGAAGAGACAGAGAGAGUGAGUCUUUGUGUGUGGUUCAGCCAGAGGGGUUUUUGCUGCGUCUAACACCACUUGAUAAAACUUUGUCAGAGAGACACGGAGACGGCGAGGGAGGGAGAGAAACGGAAGAAGAACACAGGACGUCGAAGGUCUCUUCUCCUCCAACCCCCUCCCUCUUAUUACUCAUUCCACCUUAACUGUUUGAGCAAGAAUUCAUCGGAGAUGGUGCACAGGACAUUUCUGCUCAGUCCCACUUCCAAGCAGAUAGCGCACAAUAUUCGUAAGAUCUCACGAGCCAGGAUGAAAGGACAAUUUGAACUUUUUCUCUCAUCCACUGUAUCAGACACAGCCUGUCUUUUCGCCUUAGAUUUUCUCACCCUCACUACAGCAACUCCCAUCAGAGGAUAUGGCAGUGCAGUAUUGAUCUAUAAGGUGGAAGAGAGGAAGGAGGGCCCGGGCUUUCAUACCUCUCUCUCUCUCUGUGUGUGUGUGGAAAUAGCACCUGAAGUCCACUUACUGCUGUGCAGCAGGAAUCCCGUGGCAGCAGAAAUGACUGGCUGCUAAUUGAAUGAGAGUUGAAAAGGACAGUAGUUCUACCUGUUCAGUAUCACCCCCUCCUCCUGUCUAAUACUACUUAGUUUUUCAUCCAUUUUUCUCCUCCACACUUACAAAAGUCCUUCUCCACACAGAUAUUUUAGCAAAAUUGCUAGUGGCUUAAGAAAAUUGGCUAAGGAAUGAAAAUACCUGGCCUAACAUCAGCACAGAGGUGAAAGCCUUCAGUAGAAACCAGAGAGGAGAAACAAGUUAUUUUUUCAUACAGGGAUAGAAACAUCCCGCUGAAAACUUCAGUUCUGAGAGGUCAUGCCACAAAACAAACUGUACGCAUCUGUGGACUUGGAAGGACAUUAAAGACAGCCGGACAGUUGAUCAAGCAUUAAACCUACAGAGAUCACAACGGAAUUCAUACCUUUUGAUGCAGUCAGGAAUGCCACCAUGGAGCUGAAAAGUAGCGAUCAAGCUUCCACCGUUGGACCGCACACAAAAAAAGCGAACACACUGUCUGUAGCCAGUGUCUCUGAACAUGUUUAGCCUUGGCCGCAUAUGGGAAAAUGCCACCUCGAUAUGUGCAAGAAUAGCCAGUUAGACACACAUCAUUAGAGUCUGAUUAUCACUUGUCUGGUCUGCGGUCUUUGUGGAUGUGGACAGGUAAGUUGGAGCCGCUUCUAAAAGGUAAGUUUGGAGGUUGAAUCAAUUUAAGAGCUGUCUGAAGUGUAAAAUGGAGCAAUAUUUUUCAAAAUUAGUUUCAUUAGAUAUGAAUUACUAUAUUUGAGACCAAUUUUCGGUCGCAGAUUGGAUGAGACCCCAAGGGGUCCUUCUUUUCACUCAGUAAUUUACAUUCAAGUAUUUGACUGGAAAACCAUUUGACAAGAGUUUGUCGCUGUUGAAUUACUUUCCUCUUUUCUGUGGGACAUUAUGUACACAUACAUAUUUAUACAUUAUUUUUCAUAAUGUAAUGAAUUAACUUAUCAUAAAACAGUGAAUGAGAUUGUCAAAUGCCAAAA